GACACGGUGGCAUAGUGGGUAAGUGUGCUUGACUUGGGACCAAAAGGUCCUGAGUCCGAGUCCUUGCCUUGGCU